rnacentral:misc_RNA from 1 species
ACUAACGCGUGCGCCUCAUCGCUGCGCUCGCUCAUCGCGCCUCCCCCAUCCAUACCACCUCACCCUUAGCGCAUACCUCGCUGGAGCCGCAUGCCGAUAGCCGCCAUGCUCACAAAGGACGCAGACUGUGAGAAAUCGCAGCAGCAGAAGCUCGAAGAGGACAUCAAGUCUCCGUGCACUCCCUCGUUUCACUGCAUCUCUGACGAAGAUCCAAAGAGUGACAGGGCAACCAAUUAUAGUUGCGCAAAACCUCUUGAUUGGUCACCGCAGACACCAGAGACGCCACCGGUGAGCGUGGCAGAGCUGAGAGUGACGGCGGUGGCGGAUACGUCCGUGACGGAAACGACUUCCGAGAGUGUGACACAUAGAAACGAACUGCGCGCAAACGAAGGUGAGUCGAGCGCAUCGGGGACCGUAGAGAAGCCCUUUGAUGGCGUCGCUGCUGCAGGAGGCGCUGCACCCGCAGCGGUACCGCAGAAGGCACAGGAGAGAGGAUCAUCAGAGCCUCUCAAACCCAAACGGUCGUAUGGUACCUCUGACGCCGUGUCAUCCUCUUCCUGUCAUGUAGAUGCACUCGGCGAUCUCGCUGGCAGCGUCCGGCAGCACCAUCCGACCUCCACACCCACGCUGGGCACCAGCGGCAGCAAUGGUGGCGGCGAUGCGACAAAGCACGCGGUAGCGGCGGGGCACGUCGAUGGGUCACUGCCUCCGCCACUGAGUGGAGUCUUCUUUCCCUCCACGGCCUGCGAUGCGGUGACGACUGCCUCCUUGGUGACCCUUAUCUCCUCCUACUGCGACGUUGUGACGCUGGUGCAGCUCAUGCGGGUGAACCGCUCGGCGCACCUGUUGGCAACGAGUGAUGCCGUGUGGAAGCCUCUUCUGGUGUCCAUGAACCUGCCACCCUUGCUAGCCGCCUACGAGCGGGACAAAGACUACUACGACUUCUUUGUCGAAGACGUCAUCACCACACGUGCUCUGCACGGACACUACACAUUUCAAGCCGCAAACGCCGCGUCAGGUAGCCGUGAAAGCGUAAGCACCACGAGCGGGUCAAGGUCCGCCGUCAUGAACCGCGACUACGUGUCACGGGACGAGGACUCCCUCCAGGAUGAUAUCUUCAACAUUGCCUCAUUGCAGCUGCUCAUCUCCGCCGCCUCGCUGGGUCAGUCAAACCACCUUAUCGGUCGUGUGCAGCUACUCCUCACGUAUAAAAAUGAGUCGAUGGAGGUGUUGCAAGGCUCAUGCCGCUUCUCCGUUCAUCGCCGCUGCUUCUCCCUCUGCUGCAGCGCUUUUGGUACGGUGAAGCGCGGGCCCGUCUUCACGGUGGCCGUCGCGACGGUGACGAAGCCAUGGGCGAACGAGGGAUUUCAGCACUUCAGCGAGCACAAGAAUGGAAUCCGGCUAGUAAUGACACCGGUGCUGUGGGAGGGCCAGAGCCCUGGUUCGCAGAUUACGGAGAACGACAUUCUUGUCGUAAGCCGCCCCAAGCCGGCGCCCUCCUUGAUCACAUCGACGACUGGAUCGGCGGCGGCAAACAGCUCUCUGGACGCCCCUACAGCAUCACGCGGCUAGUGCGGGUAGUGGUGGAAAUGAGUGCACGGUGCCUGUGGCAUUCAUGUGCCGGAGUCGAGACUGCUGUUGAAUGUUUGUUGGCUUUUGUUUUGUUUCCUACCGCAGUAUUCUGACAGCAGCAACAGAACAGAGGGCCGCGGUACGUGUCAAGAAGGCAGCUCCACGGAGGGAGGGCAGAGACAAUGGAUGUGUGUAUACCUGCAUCUCUGUGGCACGCAUCUCAUGCCCUCGUGCGAAGGGGAAGAGCGACGGUAGGUAGUGUGGUGUUGUGUCGGUGACCGCUAAAAUAUCUCGCCCCUGCCCUCCCCUCCCCCUCUCUGUCCAUGAGCAUACGGGCCUCUGCCAAUACCUGCGCAUUGGAUCUGUUUGUCAUCUACACGCAUGACGUUAGCGGUCGCGGACAGGUGUGUUUAGGUGUGUGGGCCUUUCGCUGUUGGAUACCCGCGUGUGCGCGUGUGUUCUGUAAGCCCCCUCUCUCUUCUCUCUUUCUCCCUCGCUUCUGGCACUGUUUCUCCCUGUUCCCUCUCUGCGCGAGCGCCCUUGUGUGAGUAUUUUGCGCUGCAGUGUUGCAUAUCAAAGAAGGCGGAACAGCACACCCACACACGCGCGCGUUAAUUGAGUCUCAGCGUCAUCGUUCAUGCUGGUGAGAGGGACAAAGGGGCUGGCCUUGAGUCUGUGCUGGUUGGGGCAACGAAAACAGAGGCGCGCUGCACAGCUGUUGUGCUCCGCGAGUUUUUCUCCCUUGUACUCUCUCGCUCUUUGCAAAAAUACGGUCUGUACCGUGGGCAAUCCGCACAGCCGACUCAUCCAGGAAGGGCAAGGCGGAGACGAAGGGAUGACCGCGUGCAGAAGUGCGUAUCACUGGAGUGCAAACGAAGGCCAUCGUGGUAUCC